GGGACAUGGUGGAAUUGGUAGACACGACGGACUUAAAAUCCGUUGCCAUUAGAGGGCUUGAGGGUUCAAGUCCCUCUGUCCCC
rnacentral:ncRNA from 12 species